ACGUAUAGAUGGACAAGAAUAGGCUUCGGCUUAGCGUCUUAGCAGGCCAUUCUUCCACGGCGCUCGAAGCGCGUCGUGGUAUUUCGCGUAUUGUAAUUUCAACACGAGCGGGGUCAAAUCCUUUGCAGACGACUUAGCUGUGCGAAACGGUCCUGUAAGCAGUAGAGUAGCCUUGUUGUUACGAUCUGCUGAGGGUAAGCCGUCCUUCGCCUCGAUUU
rnacentral:rRNA from 1 species